AGUCAUAUGCUUGUCCCAAAGAUUAAGCCAUGCAUGCCUCAGUGUGAGUAGUUACAUUGCGAAACUGUGAAUGGCUCAUUAUAACAGUUAUAGUCUAUGUGGUGACCACUCUGUACAUGGGUAGCGGUGGCAAUUCUAGAGCUAAUACAUGGUAACAUUCCCAACUUCGUGGCAGGGUCAUGUCUAUUAGAUUCAGAACCAAUGCAGGCACAGCCUGGUCGAGUGGUGACUCAUAAUAUACAAACAUAUCGCAGGGCGUCAGCUGGCGAUGACCCACUUGAGUUUCUGACCUAUCAGCUUUGGAUGGUAGGUAUUGGCCUACCAUGGCGAUGACGGGUAA
rnacentral:rRNA from 1 species